UAAUGGCCAGGUUCUUUAUAUUUGUUACUAUGACUGUAUAAAAAAAUCACUUCACAAUUUACUGGCUUAUAAUAGUAAUACUUAUUUACUAUUUCUUGUGGUUUCUCUAGAUUAAGAUUUCUGUAGCUUACCUGGGAGAUUCUGGUUCAGGGAUUUUCAUGAGGUUGUAGUCAGAUAUUGAUUGUUGCUAUAGACAUUUGAGGGGUUGACUGAAGCUGGAGGAUCCACUUACAAGGUGGCUGCCUUACAUGAUUGGCCAGUUGGUUAUGGUUGUGGGUUGAAGGCCUCAGUUCUUCUCUACAUGGACUUCUCUGUGAGACUGCUUGAGUAUCGUCAUGGGGCAUUGUGGCUGGCUUCUAUGAGAGUGAGUGAUCCAAGAAACCAAAAGGUAGAGGCUAUAAUUCCUUUGCCUGCUCUCAGUAGUUAUACCUUAUCAUUUCUACCAUAUUCUGUUGGGGUCAUAUAAGGUUAUAAGGGGCAAGUAUCAUAAGGGGCUGUUUUAGAGGCUGGUUACCACAUCCUGCUUUAUUCUCUCGGUAUCAUGGCAGUGAUCCAAAUCUGCUAUUGUUAAAAUGAGAGCUAUCUUUCUUCUCUUUCCAGAUAUAAAUUCCUCUGCUGCCUAUGCUUUGUCAUUUCUUUUAUUUGUCCUGUUUUUAAAAGUUUUAUUGAAGUGUAGUUGAUCUACAAUGUUGUGAUGAUUUCUGCUGUACAACAAAGUGAUUCAGUCUACAUAUGCAGAUAUCCAUUCUUUUUUCAGAUUCUCUUCCCAUAUAGAUUAUCACAGAAUAUUGAGUAGAGUUCCCUGUGCUAUACAGCAGGUCCUUGAUGGCGAAUCAUUCCAUAUACCACAGUGUGCAUAUGCCAGUCUCAAACUCCUGGUCCAUCUCUCCUCCACUUUGGUAACCAUAAGUUUGUUUUAAAAGUCUGUGAGUAUGUUUCUUUUCUGUGGUAAGUUCAUUUGUAUCCUUUUUUAGAUACCACAUAUAAGUGAUAUUGUAUGAUUUUUUUUCCACUGUCUAACUUCUCUUUGUAUGAUCUCAUGGAUCUAUGUCCAUCCAUGUUGCAGACAAUGGCAUUAUUUCAUUAUUUUUUUGAUGGCAGGAUCCUGGAAAUACAUUUGCAAUUAAGAGACAAGCAACUUAAAACAAUCUUGUCUAUAUAUAGACUCCUAUAUCAAAAACUUCGUAUGUUCAUGGUAACCACAAACCAAAAAUCUACAAUAGACACAGACAAAUAAUGAAAUGCAAUCCAACACAACACUAAACAUAGUCAUCAAACCAUAAGAGAAGAGAACAAAAGAAGAAGGAAAGAAAAAAGAUCAACAAAAACAAAUCUAAAAUAAUUAACAAAAUGGCAAUAAGAACAUACAUAUCAAUAAUUACUUUAAAUGUAAAUGGACUGAAUGCUCCCACCAAAAGACAUAGACUAACUGAAUGGAUAAAGAACUAAGACCUGUAUAUAUGCUGUGUAAAGAAGAUGUGAUACAUAAAUACAAUGGACUAUUACUCAGCCAUAAAAAGAAUGUCAUUUGUUUGUGCUUAGGUUUUAAGUAGUCUUUUCUUUUUGACCUUUUUGACCUUCACCCUGGGUCUAUCCCUUCACCACCUUGGUGGCUAUAUUAAUUAUUACUGCAGAAUAAUCCCUACCAAACCUAGUGGUUUAAAACAACCAUUUGUUUUGUUAUAAUAAUGUGGAUUAACAUUUUGGGCUGGGCUAAGUUGGGCAGUGAUAGGGUUUAAUUUGUCUUGCAGGUGUCAUUAACACAACCCAAGUCAUUUGACAGUUCAAGUGGGGCUAAACAGUCCAAAGACUAGUUACUCACAUGUCUGGUGUUUGGCAGGCUAUCAGAUCCUUCAUUCUUCUCUAUGAGGCCUCUCCAGUAGACUAGCUUGGACUCAUUCACAUAGAAGUUUCAGAAUUGAAACCACAGCUAGGAGAGUGUUAAAUACUUCCAAUUCUCUUAUUUUAGUACUAUGUUUGCAAAUAUUCUGAGGUGUAAAGGAAGUCACAUGGGUAAUUCCAGAUUCAAGUGAUUGAGAAAUUGCUGUCACUUCCUAAUGGAAGGAUUGGCAAAGUCACAUUGUAAUUAGAGUGAUACAGGAUGGGAAGAAUUAUUAUGCCCAUUUGUGCAGUCUGCUAAGUAGCUUUCCUUUGUCAUUUUUUCUUUUUCUUUCUUUCUUUUGUUGCUUUUUAGGGCCACAUGCAUGGCAUAUGGAGGUUCCCAGGCUAGGGGUCAAAUUGGAGCUACAGCUGCUGGCCUAUGCCACAGCUAUAGCAAUGCCAGAUCUGAGUAGUGUCUGUGACCUACACCACAGCUCACAGCAAUGCCAGAUCCUUAACCCACUGAGUGAGGCCAGGGAUCGAACCUGCAACCUCAUGGUUCCUAGUUGGAUUUGUUUCUGCUGAACCAUGAUGGGAACUCCCCUUUGUCCUUUAUGAUAGCCUUUCCUUAUCUGUGUCACCCUCUAAGCUAUAAAUUCCCUGAGGCAAGGACCUUGGCAAGCUCAUAUUUUUCUGUAUCCACAGCACCUUUCCCAUCUUUACAUAGUUAUUUAUUGAACUGAGCUGAAUAUAAAAACACUUUCAGGGGAAAGGGAUUGUGGAAGGGGCAAGUGGGGAAUGAAAUGGAUGAGCUCAUGCUCUAUUGACAGUUUUGACUAGAUUAGUUAUUUAAACAACUGCUCAAUCCAGGCAAACAAAACAUUUUAUUUUUAAAAGCUAGAUUAUUAAUUGUUUGUCUGAACCAACCAGAUGUUUGGCCAAAAAGGUGGGACAAAUUGUGGCUGGGUAGGGAAAUUAAAAGUACAGUGUGUCAGGCAAUGCAGUCUGAAAAUACUUUCUUAUUGCUGGUUCACAUUAGACAACUUUUCAGAGAAUACUGUUGAUAUUGAUAUGUUCAAAAUUGUAUUAGGUAGUUAAAAACCACACUUUACCAGUGAAUUAGUUGUUAAAAUAACAAGUCAUAUCUGAUUAAUGAGGAAGCAUUAAAAGGAAAUUGAUGUGUGUAUAUUGUAGCUUAUUAGGUAGAUAAGGGCCUUGGAAAGAAAAAGUAAAAGGCGUUCUAUAUUGUAAGCUGAAAGAUUGAGGGCAGGAUUCAUUGCCUUAAAUAUGGGGUAGCCAACUUAGUUAUAAGAAAAUAGGCUCAUGAAAAUUGUAUUGGUUAAGACAAUUAUGAUAAAAAUGGAUAUAUUAUUUCUCUAUUGCUGUGUAAAAAAUUAUCCCAUCUAUAUAUCUUCUUUGGAGAAAUGUCUAUUCAGAUCUUUUGCCCAUCUUUCCAUUGGGUUGUUGGUUUUUUUUGUUGUUGAGUUGUAUAAAUUGUUAGUAUAUUUUAGAGAUUAAGCCCUUGUCAGUUGCAUCAUUUGAAACUAUUUUCUCCCUUUCCGUAGGCUGUCUUUUUGUUUUUUUUUUAAUGGUUUCCUAAGGUGUGCAAAAGCUUGUCAGUUUGAUUAAGUCCCAUUGGUUUAAUUUUGCUUUUAUUUCUGUUGCCCUGGGAGACUGACCUAAGAAAACAUUUGUAUGGUUGAUGUCAGAGAAUAUUUUGCCUAUGUUCUCUUCUAGGAGUUUGAUUGUGUCUUGUCUUACGUUUAAGUCUUUAAGCCAUUUUGAGUUUAUUUUUAUGCAGAGUGUGAGGAUGUGUUCCAGUUUAAUUAUUUUACAUGUGGCUGUUGGCCAACAGGCACAUGAUAAAAUGCUCAACAUCACUAAUUAUUAGAGAAAUGCAAAUCAAAACUACUAUGAUGUAUCUGUCAGAAUGUCCAUCAUUAACAAGUCAACAAAUAAUAAAUGCUGGAGAGGGUGUGGAGAAAGUGUACCCUCCUACACUGUUGAUGUGAAUGUAAAUUGGUAUAACCACUAUGGAAAACAGAAUGGAGGUACCUCAGAAAAUUAAAUAUAGAACGUCCAUAUGACCCAAAAAUCCCACUCUUGGGCAUAUAUCCAGAUAAAACUUUCCUUGAAAAAGAUACAUGUGCCCGUAUGUUCACUGCAGCACUAUUCAUAAUAGUCAAGACAUGGAAACAACCUAAAUGUUCAUUGACAGAUGAUUGGAUUGGGAAGAUGUGGUAUAUAUAUAUACACAAUGGAAAACUACUCAGCCGUAAGAAAGGAUGAAAUAAUGCCAUUUGUAGCAACAUGGAUAGAACUAGAGACUCUCAUACUAAGUGAAGUAAGUCAGAAAGAGAAAGACAAAUAGCAUAUGAUAUCACUUAUAUCUGGAAUCUAAUAUAUGGCACAAAUGAACCUUUCCACAGAAAAGAAAUGCAUGGACUUGGAGAACAGAUGUGUGGUUGCCGAGGGGGAGGGAGUGGGAUGGACUGGGAGCUUGGGGUUAAUAGAUGUACACUAUUGUAUUUGGAGUGGAUUAGCAAUGAGAUCCUGCUGUAUAACACAGGAAACUAUAUCUAGUCACUUGUGAUGGAACAUAAUGGAGGAUAAUGUAAGAAAAAGAAUGUAUUUAAAAAAAUUAAAGAAAACACUUAAAUUUUUUUUUCCAAAAUGUAGUGACUUAAAACAACAAUAAUUGUUUGUUUUUUCUUAUGAAUUAGGAAUUUAGACAGAACUUAAUGUGAUGACUUAUCUCUGCUCUGUAUUGUCUCAGAAUGGUUGAUGCCAGGGGGUCUAGUUGGGAUUGUUGAUUAGAACAACAGUACAGAUGACAUGAUCUUUCUUCACAAAGUGGUAAUUGAACUCAAGGAUAAUGACAUAAACAAAGAUAGAGAUAGAGGUAGAUAGAGAUGAUAGAGAUAGAAGUAGAGAAAAAGAGAGAGAGCAGAGAGAGAGGGAGAGAGAGGAGGAGAGAAAGAAAAAGGAAGCUAUAUUGCCAUUUAUGACCUAACUUUGGAAGUCAUUCAUGCAGGCAUUCACAAGGUCCAACGCAAUGUCUUGGAGUAGGGAAAUAGGAUCAAUCUGGAAGCACAUGUGGAACUAGAAAUAUUGCUGUGGCCAAUUUUGGAAAAUGUAAUCUGCCAUAAGGGAGCAGAAAUAAUCAUGAUCAUAUUGUAAUUUAUACUUAGAUUAAAAAAAGAUAAACUAUUAUUGAAUUCUUUGACUUGUAACCUGAAUAAUGAAUAUGAUUAAUAGUGUUGGACAAAACUCAGAAUGUUGAUUCUAGCAUGAAGGCAUUAAUUAGAAUAUUUUUGAAAAAAUUCGGAAAACAUGAGCAAUAAUUUUUUGUCAUGUUGGUGGUGCAUUUUUAUUGUGAGUAACAAAAACUGAAAUCAAAUUGGAUUCAUCCAAAAGGGAAUAGAUUGAUUUAUGCAACUGAAAAAUUGGGGGGAUAAUGCUGACUAAAGUACAGCAGGAUAAAGGCCUCAAAUGAUGCUGUCAGGAAUCAGUGUCUCUCCAUCUUGCAAAUUUGUUUUUCAAUUUUUAUUUCCCAGGCAGGCUUUCCUCAAGUUUUGGAAAAAGUAGCCAAUAGUAAUUCUAGGAUUAUAUCCUUUCAGUUUAUCAACUCCUGUUGAAAUAGAGUGUUUCUUUCUCAAUAGCUUAGCCAUAGUUCAGAGACUUGUUGGGCUGGAAUCUGAAAAAAAGACUAUGAAUUACCUCUGAGUGGUUAUGGCUCAUGUUAGCAAAGCUCAAAUAUGUACUCAUCCAUAGAGCUAGAGGUUGUGAUUGGCCUCAUCCGAAUCUCAGGAAUUGAGAGCCAGAGUCCAUCUUGAACUGGCCUUUAACGUAGUAGGAAUAUAAGACUGGUAUAGGCACUGUGUGCCUAUGGAAAGAACACUUUCCAGCAGUGAUAGAGGGGUCAUCAUGGAAGACUGAUAUAGCCAAGGAUCAGUGCUGUAGGGAGGAAAUCAAGAUUUGGAGCCUGUUGAUUGACUCAAUGACUUAUGUAUCAAUCUGACUUCAUUUUUGUGUAUUUAUUUGACACAUAGUUAUUGAACAUCUAAUAUGUUCAUUUAGUAGUGCAGCUUGAGUCUAAGGGAGAAUUAGGCUUGCCUGGUUGAGGCUGUUAGAAAACAAUUAUGUGAGAACCUCAGAGCCUUUUGAAGUGUUUCAUGUUAAAAGGAGGUAAGUUUGGAGGAGAGAGGCAAAUGCAUCAUGUGCCUUCCAUUCAGAUCAGUUCCCUAAGCCCAGCCCUCCUUGUAUUAUAUAUCAACCGCAAAGAAAGCAGUGGGAUUUCAAAGUCAGUAUUGAAGUUUCUGUUAAGACAAAGUAGCACUUCAUUGCGGCUCCUCCAGGGAAGAGAAACCCAAAGGAAAGAGCAAUAUUUUCCUACUUCAUAGCUAAAUAACUGAGUAGCUUUCAUAUCUUAGCUAUUGCAGUGUCUAGAUAUGGGAGGAAAUAAUACUUCCCAACAAUAAUUCCAGCAGGCAUAAGUUCAGGCUGGUGGGAGCAUACUUAUUUUUUACGAACUUGUGUUUGAUAUUCUCUGGCUACCUCUAAGAAUACCUGGGAACACUUUUUUAGAGCAGGAAAGUGAAAGUCAAAACCAUAUAAGUAUGAGUUUUUCCAAGUAAGGGGGCAUUUGCAUUACAUAUAGUUUGGUGUAAUAAAAAUACUAGGAGCAUGUUCUAGUAGUAAAUAGUAAAUAGUAGUGAUAAGUUGUUGUAAAUCAAUAGUAUUCAGUAAUUUUGGGGUAUAUAUAUAUAUAUAUAUCUCUUUGUUCUUCAGUGCAUAGGGCUGUGGAGCAGACCAGAUUAAGAAGACUGCACCUUAAAAAAUCUGACUCUUAGGAGUUCCCGUCAUGGCUCAGUGGUUAACGAAUCUGACUAGGAACCAUGAGGUUGCGGGUUCGAUCCCUGGCCUUGCUCAGUGGGUUAAGGAUCUGGCGUUGCCAUGAGCUGUGGUGUAGGUUGCAGACUUGGCUCAGAUCCCGCGUUGCUGUGGCUGUGGCAUAGGCCAGUGGCCACAGCUCCAAUUCAACCCCUAGCCUGGGAACCUCCAUAUGCUGCAGGAGUGGCCCAAGAAAUG
rnacentral:lncRNA from 1 species